CUAAAAUAGACCCCCCAGUUUCAUCUCUCAUAAUAAUAAUAAUAUUUAACCGUCGGAUAGGGGUUUCUCCAAAUCGGAUCAGAAAAUUCGAUCACCAUGAGAGCCAAGUGGAAGAAGAAGAGAAUGAGGAGAUUGAAGAGGAAGCGCCGAAAGAUGAGGCAGAGAUCUAAAUAGUAGUAUUCCUCCUCUUCUUCACAAACAGUGUCAUCAUCUGCCAUCAGUUGUUUCUGUUUGCUUUUCGGAAUAAUAGUUUGCUGUUAGUUUUUUUUCACUUCACUACUACUGUUGAAUUUUGAAGCUUAUCAGAUUUUUAUCAUGAUGAUAUGAGUUUUUGGAUUAA